AAGAGAGCCAUAACACAGGUGCUGCAUGGCUGUCGUCAGCUCGUGUCGUGAGAUGUUGGUUAAGUCCCGCAACGAGCGCAACCCUUGUCAUUAGUUGCUACAUUUGUUGGGCACUCUAAUGAGACUGCCGGUGACAAACCGGAGGAAGGUGGGGAUGACGUCAAGUCCUCAUGGCCCUUAUAGGUGGGGCUACACACGUCAUACAAUGGCCGGUACAAAGGGUCGCAAACCCGCGAGGGGGGAGCCAAUCCAUCAAAGCCGGUCGUAGUCCGGAUCGCAGUCUGCAACUCGACUGCGUGAAGUCGGAAUCGCUAGUAAUCGUGGAUCAGCAUGUCACGGUGAAUACGUUCCCGGGUCUU
rnacentral:rRNA from 1 species